CAUGUGGUUUAAUUCGAAGCAACGCGAAGAACCUUACCAGGUCUUGACAUCCCGAUGCUAUUUCUAGAGAUAGAAAGUUACUUCGGUACAUCGGUGACAGGUGGUGCAUGGUUGUCGUCAGCUCGUGUCGUGAGAUGUUGGGUUAAGUCCCGCAACGAGCGCAACCCCUAUUGUUAGUUGCCAUCAUUCAGUUGGGCACUCUAGCGAGACUGCCGGUAAUAACCGGAGGAAGUGGGAUGACGUCAAAUCAUCAUGCCCCUUAUGACCUGGGCUACACACGUGCUACAAUGGUUGGUACAACGAGUUGCGAGUCGGUGACGGCGAGCUAAUCUCUUAAAGCCAAUCUCAGUUCGGAUUGUAGGCUGCAACUCGCCUACAUGAAGUCGGAAUCGCUAGUAAUCGCGGAUCAGCACGCCGCGGUGAAUACGUUCCCGGGCCUU
rnacentral:rRNA from 1 species